UACGGAGGGUGCAAGCGUUAUCCGGAUUCACUGGGUUUAAAGGGUGCGUAGGUGGGCAAGUAAGUCAGUGGUGAAAUCUCCGGGCUUAACCCGGAAACUGCCAUUGAUACUAUCUGUCUUGAAUAUCGUGGAGGUAAGCGGAAUAUGUCAUGUAGCGGUGAAAUGCUUAGAUAUGACAUAGAACACCAAUUGCGAAGGCAGCUUACUACCCGAAUAUUGACACUGAGGCACGAAAGCGUGGGGAUCAAACAGG
rnacentral:rRNA from 1 species